AUGGAGACAAGAAAAGCCAAUGGAGUUAAAGGAAGAAGGAUUGGACAAGGUGGAGGAAGGAAAGUCAAUGAAAGGUCAACGAUGGAGAAGGUCAACAGGAAGUCAACUAGACUUGGACAAGAUGGAGGCAACCAACAGAUGAAGACAUAAGCAACAUGGAGACAAUGGAAAGUCAACUAUGGAGGAAACUUGGGCAAGACGGAGGCAGGAAAGUCAAUGGAAGGUCAAAGGAAGAAGGAUUGGAGAGGAUGGAGGCAGGAAAGUUGAUGAAUGGUCAACUAUGGAGAAGG